GAGUAUAUGAGUUUUUUUAUUCAUGAAGAGUGAUAUCAAGUAUUUUCUGUCAAAUUUAAUGGAAAGAAUUAAUUUUGGCGGUAUCGGUUACAAAAUUUUCUUGAAUAAUGAUUGAAGAAGGGCCAAUAUUGAAUUUAGACGAUUAGGAAAUUGUCUAGUUGGUUCAGCCAGCUAGACUACGAUAGUUUGAUCGUCUUGUAAGAAUGCUAGUUGCAAGAUGGACCGAAAAUGCGCUAGAAAAAGGAAGAAGAUACAGGCAGUUUGCAGAUCGAAAAAUAGAGAAUUUAUUACCAAAAAAAGAAAACACCAAAAGCAUUUUUUUUCAUUUUGAAGCACACGUAAUUAAAGGCAGAAGAUAGGAUCAUCUAUAGAGUAGAGAAGGAGCUGAAAUUUAGUGGAAAUAUUUUAACGGUUUUUCCUGAACUAUGUAGCUCCUUGUGUUUCUUCCCAUGUUAUUUUUAAAAGUUGGAGAAGUCAAAACAGGUGUUUUGAAAUACCAAUCAAGAAUGGAGAAUUUGUUUUCAUAGACAUCGGACAACAGGUUUGUUUUUGUCAUUGAGUAUAUAAGGAGAGC